UUAAGUAAGAAAGGGCGUACGGUGGAUGCCUAGGCACUUGAAACUGAAGAAGGACGCAACAAACGGCGAAACGCGGCGGGGAGCUGUACGUAAGCAAAGAUCCGCCGGUAUCCGAAUGGGGGAACCCGGCAUGCGUAAUAGCAUGUCAUCCGCAGAUGAACAAAUAGUCUGCGAGAGAGGUACCCGGGGAACUGAAACAUCUAAGUACCCGGAGGAAAAGAAAACAACAGUGAUUCCCUGAGUAGCGGCGAGCGAAAGGGGAGGAGCCCAAACCAGACCGAGGUCUGGGGUUGAAGGACCGCGAUACGGCAAGAAUCAUGGUAGGAGAACGGCAUUGAAAGGCCGACCGGAGAGGGUGCAAGUCCCGUAUCCGAAACCGUGAGGAAGCCCAGCGGGAUCCUGAGUACGGCGAGACACGAGAAAUCUUGUCGGAAGCAGGCGGGACCAUCCGUCAAGGCUAAAUAUAAGCAAGUGACCGAUAGUGAACCAGUACCGUGAGGGAAAGGUGAAAAGAACCGCGGGAGCGGAGUGAAACAGAACCUGAAACCGUAUGCUUACAAGAAGUCAGAGCACGUUAAGGUGUGAUGGCGUGCCUUUUGUAGAAUGAACCGGCGAGUUAUGUUAUCGUGCGAGGUUAAGCAGGAGAUGCGGAGCCGAAGCGAAAGCGAGUCUUAAUAGGGCGGCAGUACGAUGACAUAGACCCGAAACCGUGUGAUCUAGCCAUGACCAGGUUGAAGUUCAGGUGAAACUGAAUGGAGGACCGAACCGACCCCCGUUGAAAAGUUGGCGGAUGAGUUGUGGCUAGGGGAGAAAUUCCAAUCGAACACGGAUAUAGCUGGUUCUCCCCGAAAUAGCUUUAGGGCUAGCGUCGAGGAUGAGUCUUGUGGAGGUAGAGCACUGAAUGUACGAUGGCCCCAUCCCGGGGUACUGAGUAUAAUCAAACUCCGAAUGCCAUGAGAUAUUCCCGGCAGUCAGACCGUGGGUGAUAAGGUCCAUGGUCAAAAGGGAAACAGCCCAGACCGCCAGUUAAGGUCCCAAAAUGUAUGCUAAGUGGAAAAGGAUGUGGGGAUGCACAGACAACUAGGAGGUUGGCUCAGAAGCAGCCAUCCUUCAAAGAGUGCGUAACAGCUCACUAGUCGAGUGACCCUGCGCCGAAAAUGUACCGGGGCUAAGCAUACUACCGAAGCUGCGGAUUUGUAGUAAUACAAGUGGUAGGGGAGCGUUCCAUGCACGUGGAAGCCAUACCGAAAGGAGUGGUGGAGAGCAUGGAAGUGAGAAUGCCGGUGUGAGUAGCGAGAUGCAGGUGAGAAUCCUGCACACCGAUAGCCCAAGGAUUCCAGGGGAAGGUUCGUCCGCCCUGGGUAAGUCGGGACCUAAGGCGAGGCCGAAAGGCGUAGUCGAUGGAAAACAGGCAGAUAUUCCUGUACCCGCGAUGGAAAUGAAGGAAUGACGGAGAAGGCUAGCAUGAGCCACUUAUUGGAUUGUGGUCGAAGCGAAUAGCAGGUGCAUAGUAAAAUGCGUGCACGGAAUGUAAAACGUGAUAGGUAAGCGAAACCUUUGGGGAGUAGCGAAGCAUGCGAGGCCAGCUUCCAGGAAAAGUUUCUAGUGCUGAUUCCAUAGCGGCCCGUACCAAAACCGACACAGGUGGGCAAGGAGAGUAUCCUGAGGUGAGCGAGAGAACUGUUGCCAAGGAACUCGGCAAAAUGACUCCGUAAGUUAGCGAGAAGGAGUGCUUAUGAAAGUAAGCCGCAGUGAAGAGGCCCAAGCGACUGUUUAACUAAAACACAGCUCUCUGCGAAGUCGCAAGACGAAGUAUAGGGGGUGACGCCUGCCCGGUGCUGGAAGGUUAAGAGGAUUUGUCAGUUUCGACGAAGCAAUGAAUUGAAGCCCCAGUGAACGGCGGCCGUAACUAUAACGGUCCUAAGGUAGCGAAAUUCCUUGUCAGGUAAGUUCUGACCCGCACGAAAGGCGUAACGAUUUGGGCGCUGUCUCGGCAGCAGACUCGGUGAAAUCUUAGUACCUGUGAAAAUGCAGGUUACCCGCAACUAGACGGAAAGACCCCAUGGAGCUUUACUGCAGCCUGAUAUUGGAUUUUGAUCAGAGAUGUACAGGAUAGGUGGGAGACGAAGAAGGAUGCACGCCAGUGUAUCUGGAGUCGACGUUGGGAUACCACUCUUGUCUGAUUGGAGUUCUAACCUGCGUCCAUGAAGCUGGACGGGGGACCGUGUCAGGCAGGCAGUUUGACUGGGGCGGUCGCCUCCCAAAGAGUAACGGAGGCGCCCAAAGGUACGCUCAGAUUGGACGGAAAUCAAUCGGCGAGUGCAAAUGCAGAAGCGUGCUUGACUGUGAGACAGACAGGUCGAACAGGGACGAAAGUCGGGAUUAGUGAUCCGGCGGUGCCGAAUGGAAGGGCCGUCGCUCAACGGAUAAAAGCUACCCUGGGGAUAACAGGCUGAUCUCGCCCAAGAGUUCACAUCGACGGCGAGGUUUGGCACCUCGAUGUCGGCUCAUCGCAUCCUGGAGCUGAAUUCGGUUCCAAGGGUUGGGCUGUCCGCCCAUUAAAGCGGUACGCGAGCUGGGUUCAGAACGUCGUGAGACAGUUCGGUCCCUAUCUGUUGUGGGCGUAGGAGAUUUGAGGAGAGCUGUCCUUAGUACGAGAGGACCGGGAUGGACCUACCGCUGGUGCACCGGUUGUUGUGCCAACAGCAUAGCCGGGUAGCUAAGUAGGGAAGGGAUAAGCGCUGAAAGCAUCUAAGCGCGAAGCCUACUCCAAGAUGAGAUCUCCCAUACGCAAGUAGUAAGACCCCUUGAAGACGACGAGGUAGAUAGGUCAGGGAUGGAAGCGCAGCGAUGCGUGGAGUUGACUGAUACUAAUAGGUCGAGGACUUAAUC
rnacentral:rRNA from 1 species